GUAACUGAGUCCUGGAUUCUGUUGCUGAGACUGAAUAGAACAGGCUACAUGGUGUUCACAAAUUUAAACUGAGGACCAGAGAACAGAGGAAGCUUAGCACCAGUCCCUUCUUUUCAGAUUGGAAAGAAAGUUAGAAAAAAAAAAGGGAGUAUAGUGGAAAACAGAGUUGGAUGGAUAGAGGAUUCUGUAAUUCUCCAGUCUUUGGAUGGAGCCCAUAGCCUGGUGUGCACUAAUAGACAAG
rnacentral:lncRNA from 1 species